rnacentral:lncRNA from 1 species
AUGACAAAAAGUAUAGAUUUUUUCAAAAUAGAAAAGGAAAUCAACGAAUAUAAAAUAAAGCAAGAAGAAACAUUUGACUUUUAUAUAAGUAGUAUUAAUAAUUUAUUAGAUAAAGUUAAAAGAGCUAAGUUAAGUAUAGAACAGAAAAUAAAUAAAAAAACAGAUGUUAACAAUAAAGAAAGCUAUGUUAGUCAUAAAAGCCUAGAAGUAGCAAGUAGUCCGAACAAUUUGACUGAUGUUUCUGAAACAAAACAUAUUGAAACGGACAAAAAUUGUGAUUAUUACAAUUCGCAUACAAACAUAGUGAGAGAAAAUGGCAUACAUAAAUAUAACACAUAUGAACACAUUUUACAUAACUAUAACGAACUCGCUUGUAAUUACGACAUUAAGGAUUUUAUAAAAGAAGUUUCUAGCUUAAAUAUGACUAAAAAAAUAAUUGAAGAAAAUAAAAAAUUUUAUUAUAUAUUAUUAUCAUCCUAUAAAGGAAUAAUAUCGUUAAUAAAAGAAAGUGCACCUGAUGUUUUUAAUAAUAUUAAUAUAAAAAAAAAUAUUAUAUUAAGACUAAUUUUAUUACAUUUUUUACAAACAGGUGACUUCUUUAUGUAUUAUGUAUUAAAUAAAGAAAUAUUAGAUAAAAAGAAAAAAAAAUUCAACAAAGAUAAUAAAUUACAAGAUAAAUCGAUUGCAAAUGCACUAGUUAACAGUACGCGUGAUAAUGAUACCGGCAAUGCUCUGAUUACUAGUAAUAGUAUUAUUGACAAUAGUAUCAGAAACAAUAUUAAUAAAAACAGUAACAACAUAACGGAUUAUACAAACAAAUCUAACAGCACAGAGUCUGGAGUAGUUCUCCAAACAAAUCAAAACUUUGUACAAAAUGGCAAUAUACAACCCUUGAAUAGUGUUAAUAUUUUUGACCAAAACAAAAGAAUAUGUAAUAAAAAUGACAUAUCGUAUUAUGAAAGUAGAAAAACAGAAAAGCAGACAUAUUGUGAGCACAUUUGUAACACCGGGAAAACAUAUACCGGUUGCAAUAAAUGCGAAAACAAGAGCAGUGACAGUAUUUUUUUUAAUAAUGUUACAGAAAAAAAGGGAGCAACUAAAAACGGAGCAGCUAAAAACGGAAUAGCUGAAAAUGGAAUAGCUGAAAAUGGAAUAGCUAAAGAAAAAGAAGAAAAUAAUAUACUAAACUGGAAUGAAAAAAUAGAGGCAUACGAAGUGAAUGGUAUUUAUUCUGUACUUCUUAAUAAGAUAAAAAAGUGCACACCCAACAAAGCACAUACGAUGGGUAGUACUGUAACAGAUAGUAUGACUCCAUCCGGUAAUAACAACCACAAUGCAAAUUUGUUUAAAGAACUAAAAAAACAAUACAUACAAAAAAUAAGGUACGAAAACAAAUGCGAACAUAUAGAUAUAAAACACGCAUUAGUAGAAAAAGAAAUAUUUGAAGGAUAUAAACAGUUACAUAUAUUUUUAUAUAAUUUAAAAGAAUUAAAUGCGUUUAUAUGUAUAGAUUGGUUUUAUAAUUGUAGUGAGCCUAUAAAAAAAAAAUAUUCCAAAUUAAUAUAUUUGUUACAUUGUGUGAAUUAUUUGAAAUAUUUAAAACAUGAUAAUUUAAAAGCGUUAAACUAUUUAAGAGAGCUUACGAAAAAAUUUAGUGAGAAUAAACAACAUAUUGCUAAGUUAAGUACUUUUAUUUGUAUAGGUUCGGACAACUGUUUUUACAAACAAGUGUUUGCAAAUGUAUAUUCAAAAGCUUUUAUUUAUUUUAAACAGGCUUUUAAUGAAGAAGGUAUAGUUAUAAAUACGCCCUAUUCAAAAGGGGGAAAAACGACAUGCGAUGAUAAAUCAAAUAAUAAUAACAAUAAUAACAGUAAUAACAGUAAUAAUAAUAAAAAAAGAAAAACGAAAAAAAAAAAAGGAUAUAGUGUAAGUAGCGAAAGUGACGAAAAUGACGAAAAUGACGAAAAUGACGAAAAUGACGAAAAUGACGAAGUAAACAAAAAAACAAAAAAAAAAGAAGGUCAAAAAAAAAAACAAAAAAGAAAAACAACGAGUUUUAGGCACAGUAAUAGUAACGAAUUGAGUACGGAAGAUACAAAAAAAUUUUCAGAAAAAAAGAAAAAAAAAAAAAAAAAGUAA